AGAGAACCAGCAACUUGGCAAAGCGUUUUUUCUAUGGGCUUUAGCAGCCCAAUCCGUAAUUGAAUUGGCUUCUCUGAGACAAUGACCCAUCCGGAUUUUCGAAAAUUGGGAUGACAGCUCGCUACACUCAGUGAUAAGAACUCUAACUUCCCAAGUGAACUGAUCUUAGCUCUUUAACUGCACUGCUCUUAUCAGAUCAAAGUUAUCUCUCCUCCAAACACAACUUCUUCGUUCUUUCGGGACUGGAAGUAUUGAAGAGAGAGGAGCAGAGCUAGGGUUUCCGUCUGCGCGGCCGAAGAAGCUCGAACCGUCCUUGCAAAACCGUCGAUGAGGAGUCCCGACGAGUCACGACAGACAGCCGCUAUGGAUCCUUCCAUCUCUCCGGUGCUUACUAUGAGAAAAGCAGAGGCUAGUGUUUCGCCUGGGUCAGGAUCCUUAUGCCGAAAGACAUAGCAAUUUCGUGUCUUCCAAAUGGCCCAGAAAAUAGAUGCAAUUAAUUCAAUUCGAGGGCAGUUUGUUAUUCCAUUACUAUGUUGGAAGAGCCACACAUCAAUUCUGGCUAAACCUUUACUAGUGAUCUGCAUUUGUAAUGCAGGGUUAGACCAAACCUCUUGUGUCCAUGGGCAGAGACGGAACAAGUGUUCCGUGGUUUCCACUUCUCUUUUGCAGAUCGAACUGGCAGGGUCAGAUUGAGCAGAAACACCGGGGAGCUUGGGACGACAGUAGCUUUGUUGAGAGGAAUCACAACACCACAACAGGAGCGGAGCAACGUCUCAGGCUUCGGUGCAGAGGCAAAUCAGCAGCAGGAGCAGCACUGUCGUCAUUAUAGCUGGGCACAGCAGCAGUAAGGUCUUCACGGAGGAGUAGCACCACAUCGGACAAGCUCGGAUCAGUUGGUUCGUCGAGGCCACAGGCACGGCGACUCGAGGUGGCUGGAUUCGUCGCCAUGGACAAGGGCAGCUCAGGCCAGACAACGUCGGGGUUGAUGUCAAGCUCGCAGGGCCGAGGGGGAAGACGACUCUUUCUCUCUUUCACCUUAUAUGCAAAGGCACAGAACUCACCACGAAAGAAACAAAAUUUCUUUCCUCUUUUCUUCAUUGACAGAAUUUCUCUUCCUAAGGGGGAGAUAUAUCUUUUUUUUACGCUCAGUCUCUCUCUCUCUCUCUCUCUCUCUCUUUUAUCUUUCUUCCCCUCAUAUAUUGCAAAUCCACGUGCUCUCAGUCAAGAUAUAAUAAGAUAAAGUGUAUGUCUCCACGUGCAACCUCUUCCUUGUUCAAUAUUUCUUUUCCAUCUUGUUUGAAUUCCAGCUUUGUCCACUCUUUCACGUGUAUUUCUCUAAGGAAGUUGGACUUCCAGGAAGACAUUUCAAUAUAUUAUGCCCUUUUCCACAUGAAUAUUGUUAUCUUGUGCUCAGAUAUUUUUCUUUAUGCUAAUGUCUUUUAUAUCACUUUCCUUCUUAUUGUAAAACAAAAUAUAUGCUAUCCCUGAAUUCUCUCCUUCGAAACAUGUCCAGGCCGAGCUCAUACACAAUUCCAAUAUUAAUCACAGCUUGCACGUGCUAGACAAACCAAAUCUAUUUUCAUCCUUGUUCCCAUGAUCAAAAUUCGGUCAUACCAAAACCUUACAUUUUCACUCUACGCAAGUUCAAUACAAUUUGUUCAGAGUCAUCCUUUAGACCUAUCCGCCGCUGGUCCAAUGCAAUGAAUGAAUUAAACUAUAUGAUGUAUGCUCCUAAUAAUUAUAGGCUAUACCAUGUAAUUUUAAUAUUUUUUGUUUAGGGGUUAAAUAUUAAUUUCUAAUUUUUCAUGCAAUUAUUCCUAAAUUGUGUAUCAAAAUUUAGGUGUCAACACCUUUCGAGCCGCAAACUAAAGGAUGUGGACUUCAUGGGUUUUGUUGAGAUCUCGGGCUGCGACUUGAAGUACCAAAGAGACACACAGAGAAGUUCUCUCUUGGCUGCAUGAACAUCUUUGAACAUGGAGAUUUGUGCUAUAAGUUAUACAUUCAAUUGAGUUGUUUGUUUGUAAACAUUGUGGGUUUUGUUAUAAUCUAUUUGUGGGAAACACUCGAGCAUAUAAAUGAUUGUAACUCGGAUUUUUCAAUUAUUAUUGGAUUAUUU